CCAACUACUCGUGGAAGACCAGGGCUUCCUGGAGCAUGAGAUGUCCAGGUUGUAUGGGGUCCAGGCAAUCCCAUUCUUUCUAGCGUCUCAUGGCCGUGUUUGCGUGUUUUGGUAUGGUUACUGCAGUUGGUUGGUACCAUUGCUAUAUCUACCUGUAGCUGUUGUGCUAUUUCUGAAGUUGCUUUGUUUCCUGAAUUAUUUUGCUAUUGUUUCUUGAAGUUGAGGAAAUUUUGUUGCUGUUAUGACCUGGUGAUGUGGAGGUAAUAGAACCUCCUCACAUAGUUCCCUUUGAAGUAUUUGCUGUAUAUCUUAUUCUUGUGUUGGUGAGAUGCUUUUCUUUUCUUCUGCAAAGCGAGUGUUGAUGGAGUAGUACAGCAGCCACAAGCAUUUGAUUCAUUAUGAUUUUUUCGCGUAGUUGAUCAUGCCCUGAUGCCAUUUUUUUGUAUUUUAUUUGGAAGAGUGUUGUUUUCUUUAUUUAACAUGUUUAAAUAGCUGAUCAACGUGCUAGUAGUUUUUUUUGGAGUAGUUCCAUGAUUACUACAGAAGCAAGAAUCUGAUUUGUGACCAUUCUUAAGAGCUUUAGUAGUAUAUAUAAAGGCUAUUAACUGCUAUGGUCUGCUUCAUUUGUGUGUAUUAAUCAUGCAACUUUUGAUCCUAAGAGAGAUGUCCAUAUCUGCACCUAAUUAGUUACAUAAACUGAAAUACUUAAUGGUAGUUUCCUAACGUAAUUGCUUACUCGAAAUUCUGUGUUCUUUCCCAUGAUCUGUAUAUAUGUAGUGCUUAGUGCUGGCCAUGUAUUGUUUACUAGAAAUUCUUUGUCUGUUCUGUCCAUUCCAACUAACCUAGCUGGCCAUUUAUUUUCACAAAACUGUUCUUGACCAUACUCCUUUGUUUAUUUCAGCAAGGUAUCCAAGUCUGGUGCUUCCAUGAGGUACCCAGGUUCCCAUGGUUCAGGCAUGAAAGUGGCUAUCCGUUAGCGGGAUCAAGUGUUAUUAUGUGUGUUGUCUCUUAGGGGAUUUCAAGUUGGUGGGGCUGGUUAGGAGGUAUCCAUGGCCGCCAGAUCUAUCCAGUUUGCAGCGGUUGCCUUCGUCUUCGACUUGGUGGGUUUAGUAUCUUGUGUUGAUCUCCAAGAGGAUAUAUAUAUCGUGGAGAACGGGUGGAUGGCAGCAAGGAACCUGCAGUGCGAUGCGUCAUCCGAUGUGACCUGGAAGAGACAAUGAAGGAAGCAGCUGACUUGAGUACAUGCCUUGCUCUGUCUGUACGACAACUAUCUUUAUUCAAUCGGGAUGUAGUGUAGUGCAGUACCGCCGGCAUUUCAGAUUCAGAGGAAUCUCGUAUGGCAUCUUGUCCGUGUUGUAUGUAACCGACCGUCCUAGGAUGGGGUUGCGGAUGCAUCAGCUUUUGCUUUGCUUUGAUGCUGAUGGCGGUUGGUUUUUUUUUUUUUUUUGUCCCCAUUGAUUGGAUCGAGUUGGGGUUGAAUGUGUAUGCCAAGCGUGUGUGUUGAAUUGAAGUAUGGUAUUUGCUGUGCAGGUUUGGAUGCCAAAAUUUUGAGCAUGCACUCCCUGGCAUUUUGGUCA